rnacentral:misc_RNA from 1 species
GAAAUGCGAUAAGUAAUGUGAAUUGCAGAAUUCAGUGAAUCAUCGAAUCUUUGAACGCACAUUGCGCCCCCUGGUAUUCCGGGGGGCAUGCCUGUUCGAGCGUCAUUACACCCCUCAAGCCCGGCUUGGUGUUGGGCGCCGCGGUCCGCCGCGCGCCCCAAUGUCCCCCGGCCGCGCCGUCCGUCUCCCCGCGUUGUGGCAACCCAGUCGCGACGGAGCCGGCCCGGCGUGGGCCGUUCGACCCCCCCUUCUCAGGUUGACCUCGGAUCAGGUAGGGAUACCCGCUGAACUUAA